rnacentral:rRNA from 1 species
UUGGAGGGCAAGUCUGGUGCCAGCAGCCGCGGUAAUUCCAGCUCCAAUAGCGUAUAUUAAAGUUGUUGCAGUUAAAAAGCUCGUAGUUGAAUUUCGGGGUCAGCAGGUUGGUCGUGCCACUGGUAUGCACUGGCUUCACUGAUUCCUCCUUUCUGAAGAACUGUAAUGCCAUUAAUUUGGUGUUGCAGGGAAACAGGACUGUUACUUUGAAAAAAUUAGAGUGUUUAAAGCAGGCUUUGGCUUGAAUACAUUAGCAUGGAAUAAUGAAAUAGGACGUUCGAUCCUAUUUUGUUGGUUUCUAGGAUUGACGUAAUGAUUAAUAGGGAUAGUUGGGGGCAUUAGUAUUCAAUUGUCAGAGGUGAAAUUCUUGGAUUUAUUGAAGACUAACUACUGCGAAAGCAUUUGCCAAGGAUGUUUUCAUUAAUCAAGAACGAAAGUUAGGGGAUCGAAGACGAUCAGAUACCGUCGUAGUCUUAACCAUAAACUAUGCCGACUAGGGAUCGGAUGAUGUUAAUUUUUUAAUGACUCAUUCGGCGCCUUACGGGAAAC